AAGGAGAACAAAGGGGAGGGAAGGGGAGGAUGGUGAUGAAAGUUAGAAUUUCCUGAUUCUUCUGCUGUGACUGACACCAACUCUGCAGGACUUCAGCUCAGCAUACAUGCUGCUUCAGUCAAACAGCCUCUGGCGUUGUUGCCAUGACGUCGGGAUGGGGGCGGAGCUAUGGGGCGGAGCGAGCAUCAAAACAGGAAGUUGUUGCUGGGACAGAAUCUAUGAAUGGCAGCCUACCUGGGAUGGCCAGGUGGUACAGCGGGAUGUCCCACAGAGCACAGGGCAGGUGACACAUCCAGCUCUCCAUGGGCAGCUCUCCCAGACUCAGCUUCCUCGCUCCGGACAAAACCACCGAGGAGGACAUGCUGAGCUUCAGCGCCUGCAGCCCGCCAGUGAACACACAUUUAACAGUAUAAUGCUGCUGCAGAGUAACACGGGGACUAGAUUGGAUUCAUUAUGUGCAGAAAAAACUUGAGCAUUGUGUUCACACACAGCACAGUGGGAAAUGUAGUCCUGUUUAUCUCAUACUUACUUGAUC